rnacentral:rRNA from 1 species
GACGAACGCUGGCGGCGUGCUUAACACAUGCAAGUCGAACGGAAAGGCCCUGCUUUUGUGGGGUGCUCGAGUGGCGAACGGGUGAGUAACACGUGAGUAACCUGCCCUUGACUUUGGGAUAACUUCAGGAAACUGGGGCUAAUACCGGAUAGGAGCUCCUGCUGCAUGGUGGGGGUUGGAAAGUUUCGGCGGUUGGGGAUUGACUCGCGGCUUAUCAGCUUGUUGGUGGGGUAGUGGCUUACCAAGGCUUUGACGGGUAGCCGGCCUGAGAGGGUGACCGGCCACAUUGGGACUGAGAUACGGCCCGGACUCCUACGGGAGGCAGUAGUGGGGAAUAUUGCACAAUGGGCGGAAGCCUGAUGCAGCAACGCCGCGUGCGGGAUGACGGCCUUCGGGUUGUAAACCGCUUUCGCCUGUGACGAAGCGUGAGUGACGGUAAUGGGUAAAGAAGCACCGGCUAACUACGUG